CAGAACUCAGGGGUGCCCAGGCUUCUCUGUGCUCUCUGUUCGGUACAACAAACUGCAUUCUCUAAUGAGCAACCUCUCCUGACAGAGGAGACUGCAAUUAACGUGGGCUCUUGGGAGCUUUCAUGUUCCCAAGCAGCAGAACAUAGAUCUGUGAAAUACUGCCCAUACCAACACAGGGUCUUUACAUAUGGGAUCACUCAUAUCGCCAAAACAGACUGGAUUUCCGAGCAAGAUUUUAUCUCCAACAACCACAAUGGGCAACUCAGCGUGAAAAGCAGAGACGCAAGUCAGCCACAAAGCCAAGCCCAGAGGGAAGGAAUGGCAAAACAAAGCAUGCCAGUUAGUUCCCAUGGGAAAUGGUGCUAACAUUCCUAAACCUGAGUGUUCCAUCUGAUUUUUCAGUUAAGGGUGGUCUGUCCGCCAUCCAUAAACUGAAAGAAUGAACUUUCUGACAAAACUUGGAUGCUGUAAAGAUUUCUGGAAGGCAAUGCAGAGUGAAUCUUCAAACUAGCUGUGAAACUAACUGAAGAGGCAAAGAGCUUCACCCUAUUGCUGCUCGGAAGCUAAGGAGGCUUUUUUUUCUGCUCAAGGAACAUUCUUAAGGCUAAACAUUCUGACAUAGCAACACAUUCUGACUCCAUCCUCUGCCACGCAGUUCUUCCAAUUUUUAAUCUAGAAGAACGCUACUACGCAGGACUGAAUCUUUAAAUCCUCAUUCAUCAAAACCACUAAAGGCUUUAGUUAGGUUGCACCAGUGUGACAGAAAGACCUCAAUAUACAGCAUUCUACAGCCCCAGUGCCUGAGCCUGAAGUGAAACAGAGAGACUCAAGACUUCUGCAUGCUGCAAGCAACCAAUCUCGCUGCUAAAAUCUCAUCAUGGCAUCAGAAUAUUAAUAGGUCAGGGCUUAAGGAGAUAGUAAGGCCAAAACACAGUAUCUCCUUAAACGUGGGGAGAAGUGGUCCCUUUUCAUCAUCUCCAGAUCCCAAUGCAACUUACUACAAUGAAAGAAAGGUUCAGAGAAUUACGUACAAGCAAACUAGCUUCAUAAACCCCACUAUUUCAAAAUAGUUAAAUAAUCUGGAGUAUCAGUACUGCUGACUACCUGCUCUCUUCAAUGGUCA
rnacentral:lncRNA from 1 species